GAAUACUGAAUAUCCACCUGUUGAAGAUUGACAAUAUAAUCCCAGUGACUUCAUCUGUACAAAAAAAUGGCUCAAAGACAUGGAUAUAGGGAACUCUGAACAUGCUAAAGGAGAAUAUAGGAAAAAUACCUCAAGAUGUAUGUAUAGACAGGAACUUUCUUUGGAAGGCCUCGAAUAGCACAGGAUCGCACCCAAGGAUUUACAAAUAAGACUGAAGGCUGGGAGAUGGCUUAGAAGUUUAGAGCACUUGCUGCUCUUCCAGAGGUCUAGGGUUAAUUCUCAACAACUGCAUGGCAGUUCACAACUGCUUGUAUCUCCAGUCCCAAGGGAAUCCAAUGCCCUCUUCUAGCCUCUACUGUGCGUUGAACACAUGUGAUGCACAGACAUACAUGCAGGCAAAACACCCAUAUAAAAAAGGAAAGGUUGCAUGAAAUUUAAAAGCUCCAGUACAGUAAAGGAAGCAACAGAGUGAAGAGAUAGACCAAAGACGGGGAGAAAUCUAUAAAGAAUUUAAACACUUAAGCACCAAAAUGAAAUCAUCCAAUCAACAAAUCUUAAAAGAAGAAACAUAAAUGGAAAACAGAUAUUUGACAAAUAAAAUAUUCAACAUUCCUUAAGCCAUCUGUAAAAUACAAAUUAAAACUUUUUUGAGAUUUCAUUGCACCCCGGUCAGGAUGGCUGUCAUCAUGAAACCAAAUGACAACAAAUGUUGGUCAGAAUACGGAAAGAAAGGAACCCUUAUAGACUAGUGAGGCUGCAAACUGCUUUGGCCACAAUAGAAGCCAGCAUGAAGGUUCUUCAAACAACUACAGGUAGAACUAACACAGGGCCCAGCUACCCUACUCCUGGCUAUAAAUCCUUAUAUACCCAAGGGAAUCUAAGUCUGUAUACUACCGACAUGCUUAUAAAUCACACGCAUUGCAGCAUAAUUCACAGGAGCAAAUAUGUGCAACCAAUGAAUAACCUAGAUGUCCAUCACCAAAUAAAUGGAUCUAAUGUGCUGCAUAUACACACAAUGGAGUUUUAUUGCACUCUACAAACAAAAUUAGGUCUUUCCUAAUUUUCAGGGAAAAUGACAGAACUAGAGAUGAUUAUGUUAAGGAAAAUACGCAGACUCAGGGACACAAACAUCACAUUUUCUCUCAUGCAGAAUUUAGAUACAGAUAGAUACAAAUAUGGGUAGGGAUAUCAGUGAUAUAAAAGUAGAACUGGGAACUGUGUGAUGGGAGGAAGUUGUAUGAAGGCAAAGGAAGGAGAUGGAAUGUAAAUUUCUUAAAAGAAUAUUUUUUAAAAUGUAGAUCCAAGGUCCUUCAUUCUCUGCCAUGUCUUUCAGAGCUGUCAAGUCCUCUGAGAUGCAACAUGAGACAGUAACUACGGUAACUACUUUCCCUGAGUGGUGUCUGGUAUGAUUGGAGGCAGCAGUCCUGAGCUGCAGUAGCAGUCCUGAGCUCCCAGGUACUCUUUGCUUUACUCUGAUGAUGCGAUUUCACAUUACAUUAGGGAAUGUAUCACAUGGUCCAAAUGUGAGAGCAAUGAAGAGUUCUUCUCCCCUCUCCUAACCCAACUGAAAGGACACCAUCCACCUACAAAAGGCAAUGACCUCAUUCACUCUAACAACCUCUGCCCUUCUUCCUAUGAUAUGUUCAUUGUAAGCAAGGGGAGAGGAAUUUAUGGGAGCAUUUAGGUCCAGAUCUGCCAUCACCUUUAGCAAUCUCAAUUAAUCACUGAGUUAAUCAUUCCCAUUCCUUCAAAAAUGGGGCAAGUUAAUUAGAAUGAAGGUUACUUUAAAAUCCUCUCUUUAGAUGUGCUACAAAAUUCUGAGAAGAGCCCCUUAGCAUAAAAAAUUAAGACCUAGGGCACUGCAGUCAGUGGAGAUUUGCAAAAGAUCUUUAAAAGGUGAUGUAUUCCUAGAUCCUUUUUCAUUCCAGUUUUAGGGUGCCGUAACUUUACUUAAGGAAAGCAAUAAUUAUUCAUAGUGGGGAAGUACCAGAGAACCAGCAGCAGCAGCAGCACCCUGAUGGUCACAUAGACCAAGCCAAGUUUCUGUUACAUACAUAGUAGAAUGCACCAGAAAGUUCUUCUGAAUGCCUCCUCACAAAUGCUGCAAAUAUCUUCCACAUACAAGAGCCAUUUCUUU
rnacentral:lncRNA from 1 species